rnacentral:rRNA from 1 species
UGGGGAAUAUUGCACAAUGGGCGAAAGCCUGAUGCAGCGACGCCGCGUGAGGGAUGACGGCCUUCGGGUUGUAAACCUCUUUCAGCAGGGACGAAGCGCAAGUGACGGUACCUGCAGAAGAAGCACCGGCUAACUACGUGCCAGCAGCCGCGGUAAUACGUAGGGUGCAAGCGUUGUCCGGAAUUACUGGGCGUAAAGAGUUCGUAGGCGGUUUGUCGCGUCGUUUGUGAAAACCAGCAGCACAACUGCUGGCUUGCAGGCGAUACGGGCAGACUUGAGUACUGCAGGGGAUACUGGAAUUCCUGGUGUAGCGGUGAAAUGCGCAGAUAUCAGGAGGAACACCGGUGGCGAAGGCGGGUCUCUGGGCAGUAACUGACGCUGAGGAACGAAAGCGUGGGUAGCGAACAGG